GCCAGUGGCAUCGCCGGGUAGCUAUGUUCGGAAGAGAUAACCGCUGAAAGCAUCUAAGCGGGAAACUCGCCUUAAGAUGAGAUAUCCCUGGGGACUAGAUCCCCUUGAAGGGUCGUUCGAGACCAGGACGUUGAUAGGUCAGGUGUGUAAGCGCAGUAAUGCGUUCAGCUAACUGAUACUAAUUGCCCGUAAGGCUUGAUCCU
rnacentral:ncRNA from 1 species